UACGAAGGGGGGCUAGCGUUGCUCGGAAUCACUGGGCGUAAAGCGCACGUAGGCGGACUCUUAAGUCGGUGGUGAAAUCCUGGAGCUCAACUCCAGAACUGCCUUCGAUACUGAGAGUCUUGAGUCCGGAAGAGGUGAGUGGAAUUCCGAGUGUAGAGGUGAAAUUCGUAGAUAUUCGGAGGAACACCAGUGGCGAAGGCGGCUCACUGGACCGGUUCUGACGCUGAGGCGCGAAAGCGUGGGGAGCAAACAGG
rnacentral:rRNA from 1 species